AAGGGUCCUAAGUAUGCUCCCAAAAGGAUAAAAGAAGCUACUGACCUCACUCGGGAGAACUUGCAUAGCAUCGCUGAGGACAAAGUUAUAUUCCCUGUUGUAGACACAGAGUUGUCUUUUGCCCAGGAGCAUGCAGAAGAAGAAAAUGAGUUUGAUAAGCUCAGGCCCUCAUAGAAAACAUUCAGAAUGCUGGAGCUAACUCACCUUCUACUAAAUUUUAUUCGAAGUUAUGCUCUCAUGCUGAUCAUAUAAUGGAGAUAAUAGAGAAGCACUUCCACAAUGAGGAAGUUCAGUAGGAUCACUAAAUGAGGAGGAUGCAAGGUCUUUUCUGCACAAUAUACAUAUGGCAGCUCUGGCAUCAGACACUGCGUUGGUAACACUUUUCACUGGUUGGGCAUGCAAAGGCCGUACAGGAGAUACUUGCUUGUCUUCUAAUGCAACAGGUUGCUGUCCUGAUGAAGAACUGUAAGGAAAUCAAGAUUGUAUAGGCCGAUGUUUUUGUGCCAGAAGUGAAUCUUUCUCAUAUGCCCAAGAGGAUUGCCAGGAAAGAUGUUCAAGUUCCACUUUAGGAGAGAGAUGUGAUCCUUCUGGAACAUGAAUUGGCUAUGCCUUGGUGCAUGAUCAGACCAUGGCAAAAAGACAGGUGGUUUUUAUGCAUGCAAUCGCUAUGAAGCAGCAAAGCACAGGGGAGUGGUAUGUCCAAAAUUAUGUUUGGUCAAUUUUGGAUGUCUCAUACGUUUGUUUUCUGGGUCGUUUAAUGCAUUGAUAUUGAGUUAGUUGAUGAUGCUUAAUUUAGUUACCAACUUUUGUUUUGCCUAUUAUUGAUUAUAGUAUGAUGAAUCUGAAAGGAGGAGAGAGAUGUCCAAAAAUUCCUUGGACUAGAGUACUAGACUAGUAUUUGGUUGUAAUUUCAUUCUCUCUUCUGUAGCUUUCAAUU